rnacentral:misc_RNA from 1 species
GAAAUUUGCCAGUAUCUCGUCCAAUUGGUGGGGGAUUCUUAGGCAAAUGCUUCAUGUUAGCGAUGACAAUAUCAGCUAGCAGAUCAGGAUGAAUAUUUGAAAUGAGAAUUUCAAGUGAUUCAGCNCUCUCCUUCAGCAAGCAAUGCACCAAUCAUAGCUAUCAUUUGUUCCACAGGAGUCAAAUCACUAUCUAAUAAAGAAGCAUUAGAGGAUACUCCAUUGACUGAUACAGAUUCCUCCUCAG